rnacentral:rRNA from 1 species
UACGGGGGGGGCAAGCGGUUGUUCGGAAUUACUGGGCGUAAAGCGUGCGUAGGCGGUUUGUUAAGUCCGUUGUGAAAGCCCUGGGCUCAACCUGGGAAUUGCAGUGGAUACUGGCGAGCUAGAGUGCGGUAGAGGAUGGUGGAAUUCCCGGUGUAGCGGUGAAAUGCGUAGAGAAUCGGGAGGAACACCCGUGGCGAAGGCGGCCCAUCUGGACCAGCACUGACGCUGAGGCACGAAAGCGUGGGGAGCAAACAGG